AUUUAUUCCAUUCCGGUGUUGACCUAGAGCAGGAUUGUAUCCAUUGGACUGCAGAGAAAACAGAAAAUAUAGGUGUCUUUCUACCUAAGACUAAUAUGUAACCACUUGGGGAUGAUAAACAGCUGCUCUUUACAUCUUUGGAGAACAGAACAAGAGAAACAUGAUGAAGCUGCAACAAGAUGAAUUUAUUUAUGGAACCCUGGGGCAUCAUGGGCUGACCUGUGUCGAAGCCUUGAUCUGCCAUUACUGCGGCCCUCCUGGAUGUAGGGAGAAGCCCAUGGCAUGGAGCAACUCCCCUUGGGGUCCUCUUCACACAACAGAGAG